GUUAGCCACUUGGGGUAGGGACGUGGCCUCCCAUUCUUUGGAAAUGGGACAACUGAACAACUGAACAAUGUUGUCAUACCAACGAAACGUGACUGUACCCAAAAUUUUCCAAAACCAGAUGUUGUUGGACUCCAAUUCCCAUCAUCCUCGCUGCAGUGGCCAAAGGCUGGACACCCCUCUCCUAUAAUGCAGUGCCAGUUUGUGAGCAAGCAUCUCGUGCACCUGGGCCCGGGAGAAAAGCACCCGCCGCUUUCGCUUGGAGGAGUUUGUCGCCAGGAAAGGGGGCGAUUUCAUCACCUCGCCAAGAUAGCCCAGGCAGUCAGCCCCCGGCACGCUAAACCCCGACGGCCCCACAUACCUGGAGACUGGGAAAGAGAACAAGGAGAGGCAGGAGGACUUGGUCAAAUGCGGCCACACCAAAGGCAAAAUGGGGAAAGGGUUCUGAGCACUGACCAGUCUGGCUCACCAGUUACUCUAUCACGGAAUUGCUGUGUAAAAAUGAUUGAAAUAAAUAGGAGAAAGACUGUGCUUCAGAACCAAC